UACGUAGGGUGCGAGCGUUGUCCGGAAUUAUUGGGCGUAAAGAGCUUGUAGGCGGUCUGUCGCGUCUGCUGUGAAAAUCCGGGGCUCAACCCCGGACUUGCAGUGGGUACGGGCAGACUAGAGUGUGGUAGGGGAGACUGGAAUUCCUGGUGUAGCGGUGAAAUGCGCAGAUAUCAGGAGGAACACCGGUGGCGAAGGCGGAUCUCUGGGCCGUAACU
rnacentral:rRNA from 1 species